CCUCUUUCAGCAGGGAAGAAGCGAAAGUGACGGUACCUGCAGAAGAAGCGCCGGCUAACUACGUGCCAGCAGCCGCGGUAAUACGUAGGGCGCGAGCGUUGUCCGGAAUUAUUGGGCGUAAAGAGCUCGUAGGCGGCUUGUCGCGUCGGUUGUGAAAGCCCGGGGCUUAACCCCGGGUCUGCAGUCGAUACGGGCAGGCUAGAGUUCGGUAGGGGAGAUCGGAAUUCCUGGUGUAGCGGUGAAAUGCGCAGAUAUCAGGAGGAACACCGGUGGCGAAGGCGGAUCUCUGGGCCGAUACUGACGCUGAGGAGCGAAAGCGUGGGGAGCGAACAGGAUUAGAUACCCUGGUAGUCCACGCCGUAAACGGUGGGCACUAGGUGUGGGCGACAUUCCACGUCGUCCGUGCCGCAGCUAACGCAUUAAGUGCCCCGCCUGGGGAGUACGGCCGCAAGGCUAAAACUCAAAGGAAUUGACGGGGGCCCGCACAAGCGGCGGAGCAUGUGGCUUAAUUCGACGCAACGCGAAGAACCUUACCAAGGCUUGACAUACACCGGAAAGCAUCAGAGAUGGUGCCCCCCCUUGUGGUCGGUGUACAGGUGGUGCAUGGCUGUCGUCAGCUC
rnacentral:rRNA from 1 species